AAACAGUCGUGACUGAAUACCCACCAUUAAAAACUUCACGUGUACCAUUAGAAUUUUUAUUUUCCAUCCAACCUGUUGAUAAGGUCAAAAAUAUCUGAAUGAAGAGACCACACAAAUAUCAGCUUGAGAAAAUACUUUUGUGGCCCGCGAGAAGUUUUUAAUGGUUGAUUACCACUGUUUCCUGUAUUAUGGUCCACUUGAGAUUUGGAUCUGCUUCGACUUUGGGAUCAUGCACUAAAAUGAGUUUUCAAAACGUAUUGACGGUGUGGAUAUAAGGAAAAUACAUCAUGGGGGGCCCGACGGUCAGGGAUCCCACCCACCUGGGUGGAUCCGGGGAUCCACCAAAGCCGCGCCCAUUACCCAUUUGGAUUUGGUUAACAGACUCGGCCAGUCUGACCCGACUUGUUCGGAUCUGAAUCGGGCCGACUCGCCCGAUUCGAUGGUGAGUUGGGACUUUAUCGACCCAACUCACCGGAGUCGGGGUGACUCACAGUAUCCGACCGGAUCGGGUCUGUCCGAGUUCAGGUCGACUCGCAUCAAACUCGUUAGAUUCUACUCCAUUUCAAGCAUGAGAAAUGCGGAUUCCCAUCUCACCACGUGUUCCAAAUUGGCACGUGUGUGGAGAUACGGCCGUCGAUCUGGCGGCCCCAAGGCAUGUGUGGUAGGGUUAGGAAUCCAGGCGGGUUUGAUGGCCGAUCGGAUCCUGCCAGAUGGGUGCGCCCUCACCGUGUGGCCCACCUUGAUUUUGCACCAAGCUGGGGAUGUUAGUUCUCUUAGGUGUGUCUAAGCAAGAAUAAGAAGGGCAGCGAGUGUUUAUGGACCAUCCAUUUUCUUGGGUAUAAGAUUGACCACCCGAUGAUGGUGAAUUGGCCUUAUUUAUCACAUCAUCCACCGUUCAAAUGUCUCACAUAUAUGAUAGAUUGGCACUCCUGAUAAAUGUAAAGGUGCAUGUGGCACAAGCAAGCCUCCCUUAUUAUAUGUUGUUGUUGUUGUUGUGGUAGUCCUCUGACAUUGUACUUAACGGUGCAAGGAUAUAUAUUUCUCUAUAUUGUUGCUGUUUA